AUGCACGCUGGCGGCGUGCUUAACCCCUGCAAGUCGAACGGAAAGGCCCAAGCUUGCUUGGGUACUCGAGUGGCGAACGGGUGAGUAACACGUGGGUGAUCUGCCCUGCACUUCGGGAUAAGCCUGGGAAACUGGGUCUAAUACCGGAUAGGACCACAUUUUGGAUGGUGUGGCGGAAAGUUUUUCGGUGUGGGAUGAGCUCGCGGCCUAUCAGCUUGUUGGUGGGGUAAUGGCCUACCAAGGCGUCGACGGGUAGCCGGCCUGAGAGGGUGUACGGCCACAUUGGGACUGAGAUACGGCCCAGACUCCUACGGGAGGCAGCAGUGGGGAAUAUUGCACAAUGGGCGCAAGCCUGAUGCAGCGACGCCGCGUGGGGGAUGACGGCCUUCGGGUUGUAAACUCCUUUCGCUAGGGACGAAGCGCAAGUGACGGUACCUGGAGAAGAAGCACCGGCUAACUACGUG
rnacentral:rRNA from 1 species